AUGGCGUGUGCAUCCGUAGCUCUCUCCUGCUACAUUCUCAGUGCUGGCAGCAGCCAUAAGUCCAGAAAAAGUAGAAAAUUUUAUCGCGAAAAACCUAAACCCUCUGAUUCUCUUCACUUUCCUCCGGCCAUUCAUUCCGCCGGCGGGGAGGCUACUUCUUACACCCGGCUUCCCUUAAAGGACGACUUCCAACUCGAUCUUUCUUCGGGUCUCUCUACUCCAUUUUAUGACGUCAUCAAGCUCCGCGAAGCGGCAGUCCUGGCCGUGGAUUCUCGGUCGAAAAAGCCUUCUAAACCCACAGGUUUUUUGGAAGAGAUCGGUGAAGGAUACGACGUAGAAGAAGAGUUUCUUGGAUUUGACUCGGAUGAUGAUGAUGAGGUCAUCUUUGGAAUUGAGUCGGACGACGUUGGCGUGGAAGGGCUCGAUGAGGACGAGGAGUUGAAGGAGGAUGAUGUCAAGGAGAAAGGUGUGCCUGCGGUUAUGCGCUGCUUCGAUCGAGCAAAGAUUUACGUGAAGGCUGGGGAUGGAGGUAACGGAGUCGUGGCGUUCCGGAGAGAGAAAUAUGUGCCCUAUGGCGGCCCUUCUGGCGGGGACGGUGGUAAAGGAGGCGAUGUUUAUGUGGAGGUUGAUGGGUCGAUGAAUUCCCUUCUUCCUUUUAGGAAAAAUGUCCACUUUAGGGCUGGGAGAGGCGGGCAUGGCCUGGGGAAGAAGCAGGCAGGGGGGAAGGGAGAGGAUGUAGUGGUGAAGGUGGCUCCAGGGACUGUCAUCAGGGAAUCGGGGAAGGGACCAGCGGAAGGGGUGUUGUUACUGGAGCUGUUGAAUCCUGGACAAAGAGCAUUGCUUUUGCCCGGUGGAAGGGGCGGGAGGGGUAAUGCUUCAUUCAAGACAGGGACAAGGAAGGCCCCAAAGAUUGCAGAGAACGGGGAAGCUGGCGCUGAAAUGUGGUUGGACCUGGAGUUAAAGUUGGUUGCUGAUGUUGGUAUAGUAGGUGCUCCAAAUGCUGGGAAAAGCACACUUUUGAGUGCUAUAACUGCUGCUCAGCCAUCAAUAGCUGAUUAUCCCUUCACCACACUACUUCCAAAUUUAGGUGUGGUGUCAAUGGAUUAUGAUGAAACCAUGGUUGUUGCAGAUUUGCCAGGUUUGCUUGAAGGUGCACAUAAAGGUUUUGGUUUAGGGCAUGAAUUUCUACGGCAUACUGAAAGAUGUGCUGUGCUGGUGCAUGUUGUUGAUGGUUCCAGUCAACGGCCAGAUUAUGAGUUUGAUGCAGUUCGUUUGGAACUGGAACUAUUUAGCCCGGGGUUGUCAGAAAAGCCAUACAUUGUUGCAUUUAAUAAAAUGGAUCUUCCAGAAGCAUAUGAAAAAUGGCAUUCAUUUAAAGAAUAUCUUAAAAACCGUGGAAUUGAGCCUUUAUGCAUGAGUGCAAUGUACGGUCAGGGAACGAGUGAUGUUAUUGCUGCAGCAUAUUCACUUCUACAGAAGGAAAUGGCUAAGAGGGCUGUGGAAGAAGAAUGGGCGCAGUCAGAAAAUCUAAAUCAUGUUGCUGAUUCCAUAGAAAAGCAAAGAAGUGCCUCUAUGAAUGAUUUUGAAAUAUUUCAUGAAAGUAGUUCAAACACAUGGCGUGUAGUUGGAGCUGGAAUUGAACGAUUUGUUCAGAUGACAAAUUGGCGGUAUAAUGAAUCUCUUAGAAGGUUCCAACAUGCUUUGGAGGCAUGUGGUGUGAACAAAGCUUUGCGUAAAGGGGGUGUAAGAGAAGGAGAUACAGUAAUUGUGGGUGAGAUGGAGAUGGUUUGGAACGAUGGGAAUGAACAGCCAGGGCCUUCGGGCACAAAAAAAGGAGUAUCUGGAUCUGUUAGAUGGCCUCAAUUUGGUUAAUUCAAUAUUUAUAUGUAAGAAAGUUGUCUCAAAUGAAGCUGAAAUCUUGAACGAUGCUGAACGCGUCUAAGCUCCUGGUUCUCAAGUUGGAGAAGAUGCCAAGGCUCUAUUUUGCUUAAUUUUUCAGCAGGCAAAAAGGCAUUAGUUUUGAGUUUAAGCUUAUUCUAUCAGUGAACUAUGCAGGAUGAAAAAUGUGCUCCUACAGUUACUGCUGCUAGAAAUGUAUGUGUUGAUGCUUAUAGACCCUGUAAUGAUUUUGAUUUGUACCAAAUCAGAUUAGAUCUGUCAUUAAUGAGUUAAUAAAAAUUUCAUAAUAGUAAUAAUAUUAUUAUUAUUA